rnacentral:rRNA from 1 species
UACGAAGGGGGCUAGCGUUGUUCGGAAUUACUGGGCGUAAAGCGCGCGCAGGCGGCUAUCCAAGUCAGUGGUGAAAGCCCGGAGCUCAACUCCGGAACUGCCAUUGAAACUGUUUAGCUUGAGUAUGAGAGAGGUGAGUGGAAUUCCCAGUGUAGAGGUGAAAUUCGUAGAUAUUCGGAAGAACACCAGUGGCGAAGGCGACUUACUGGACACAUAUUGACGCUGAGGUGCGAAAGCGUGGGGAGCAAACAGG